rnacentral:rRNA from 1 species
GGAGGGAACUCUGACGCAGUGACGCCGCGUAUAGGAAGAAGGUUUUCGGAUUGUAAACUAUUGUCGUUAGGGAAGAAAAAAGACAGUACCUAAGGAGGAAGCCCCGGCUAAUUAUGUGCCAGCAGCCGCGGUA